UUAAAAAGAAGAACGGAAAUGACACAGAAGACAGAGAUGGUAAUGAUCGAAAUGGCUUGCAUAAGAUUUCCAGUCAAGAAAAGAUAUUGUUCCCAGAAUGUGAAUGCGAUUCCUUGUGGGAAAUUUGGAAGUCCUUGAUCGGUAAAUCGU
ensembl:ncRNA F21H12.8 ncRNA